rnacentral:lncRNA from 1 species
GGCGGAGCCUCCCUACGGCUGCGACAUUUUGCGCCUGCGCGGCCGCCAUCUUACGCCCGUCGCCCUGAGUACGUUAGCGGAAAUGGCUCCGAGAGGCUUUGACGCAUGUGUACCUUUUUAGUGGCGGUAUCUCGGCCGGGGAUUUUCGGGCUCCAGUGGAGGUGGCUAUGCUCACCCCAUCUCCCUUGAGAGGCACAGAAGGUUAGAGAUGUGUGCGAGGAACGGCCAGGUCCAGCGUCUCCUCGUUGCUGCCCCUUGAGCCCGGGACCGGCGCCAAUGCGCGCCCGGGUUCUUGGGUUCUUUCGUCCCGCAGACCUGCCUUGGUGUGGCGUCCCUGGGCCGUAGCUUCCGAAGGCUGCAGCCGACCUGGUCGGGGUCCUCUAGCCCGCCUUCCCCUUCCCCCAUUGACAGAUGGAGAAACUGAGGCCCAGGCCAAAAAAUAUCUCACUAGAGGGCUCACCGCCAUUUCCUGGAAAAAUUGGGGCUGGGACUCAACGGACGCUCGUCCAGCAGCAGCGCGGAGCUCCGAAGUAAAGGCGCCCGUGACCGAGUGCUUUGUCCUUACAAGCGUGGUGUUCUUGAAUGCUUCCAGGCGCCUUAUGAGGCCCCCGAUGUACAAUCUGUGCUUAACUAAACCCCACUGUCUUCCAGGGUCAGGUUGGCCAUCCGCAGGCGUAGUUGCUAGGAAGGUUUGACAGAUGUCCGCCUGUUGAUUCAGACGUUCCCAGGAUUUGGAGCAAGAAGAGCAAGGAAGGCCAGGCGCGGUGGCUCACGUUUGUAAUCCCAGCACUUUGGGAGGCCGAGGCGGGCGGAUCACGAGGUCAGGAGUUCGAGACCAGCCUGGCCAGCAUGGUGAAACCCCGUCUCUACUAAAAAUACAAAAGAAAAUUAGCCGGGUGUGGUGGCACAUGCCUGUAGUCCCACCUACUUGGGAGGCUGAGGCAGGAGAAUUGUUUGACCUGGCAGGCGGAGGUUGCAGUGAGCCGAGAUUGCGCCACUGCACUCCAGUCUGGGCGACAGAGCGAGACUCUGUCUCAGAAAAAAAAAAGAGCAAGGAGGUGUUGAAAAUGGGUUUCCUGGCUGGGCGUGGUGGCUCACGCUUGUAAUCCCAGCACUUUGGGAAGCUGAGGUGGGCGGAUCACUUGAGGUCAGGAGUUUGAGACCAGCCUGGCCAACAUGGUGAAACACCGUCUCCACUAAAAAUAGAAAAAUUAACUGGGUGUGGUGGAGGGCGCCUGUAAUCCCAGCUAAUCAGGAAGCUGAGACAGGAGGAUCGCUUGAACCCAGGAGGCGGAGGUUGCAGUGAGCCGAGAUUGCUCCAUUGCACUCCAGCCUGGGCGAUAGAGUGAGACUCAGCCUCAAAAAAAAAAAAAAAAAAAAAUUCGCCAGGUGUGGUGGUGUGCGCCUAUAAUCCCAGCUACUCAGGAGGCAGAGGCACAAGAAUGGCUUGAAUCACUUGAACCUGGGAGGCAGAGGUUACAAUGAGCCGAGAUGGCACCACUGCACUCCAGCCUGGGCGACAGAGCGAGACUCCGACUUCCCAUCUUAAAAAAAAAAAAAAAAAAAAAAAAGAAGUGUAAAGAUGUGAUUAUGUGGCAGGGGGUAAGGGUUAAAAAGAAAACAAGAACAAGUUUUCCUCUGCUUAGCCAGCUUACUUCAAGGACAGUUAUAACACUGAAAAGUCGAGGCCAAAGGAAUGGGCUCCAGACAGCCUCCUCCGGAGCAAAGUUGAAAAGAAAAAUUCCUUUACUGUCUCUCCUUUUCUGAACCAUUAAAUAUGACUGUUUGCCAAUGGUUGUAUUUAGUAAGAUUUGUAGACUCUGUUUUUCUUUUGACACAGCUGCAAGGCCAACAGCUGUGCAAAGCCACAAGUUAUGCUAAGUCAGCAGUUAUGCUAUAGAUUACAUGACCUGUGACUGUAUCAUUAACUGCUUUUGUUUUGCUUCUGUAAGUUUGCCUAUAAAAACCACACUCAGUCUUUGUUCAAUGGUCAGCUUUUCAGAUACAAAUCCACUGAGCCGGUGUACAUCUAAAUAAAUCCUCCUGUUUCCCGUGUCAGUC